rnacentral:miRNA from 14 species
UUCCUUACCUGUGGUAGACCAGGAGAGCAAAUGAAAGAUGAGGCGGGGGACCUUGUAGUAUUGACUGUUUCUGCCUUGCAACUUUUAUGCACCAGCUUCAGCAUCUUUUCAGCUAAUGCCCUUUCUGCCAUGAUUUUAGGUAAUAAGCAAAGACAAAUGUGUGUA